rnacentral:rRNA from 1 species
GCAAGUCGAGCGCUACCUUCGGGGUGAGCGGCGGACGGGUUAGUAACGCGUGGGAAUAUACCCUUCACUAAGGAAUAGCCUCGGGAAACUGAGAGUAAUACCUUAUACGCCCUUCGGGGGAAAGAUUUAUCGGUGAAGGAUUAGCCCGCGUAAGAUUAGAUAGUUGGUGGGGUAAUGGCCUACCAAGUCUACGAUCUUUAGCUGGUUUGAGAGGAUGAUC